AUAUCAAUAAGCGGAGGAAAAGAAACUAACAAGGAUUCCCCUAGUAACUGCGAGUGAAGCGGGAAAAGCUCAAAUUUAAAAUCUGGCGGUCUUUGGCCGUCCGAGUUGUAGUCUGGAGAAGUGCUUUCCGCGCUGGACCGUGUAUAAGUCUCUUGGAACAGAGCGUCAUAGAGGGUGAGAAUCCCGUCUUUGACACGGACUACCAGUGCUUUGUGAUGCGCUCUCAAAGAGUCGAGUUGUUUGGGAAUGCAGCUCAAAAUGGGUGGUGAAUUCCAUCUAAAGCUAAAUAUUGGCGAGAGACCGAUAGCGCACAAGUA
rnacentral:rRNA from 1 species